rnacentral:rRNA from 1 species
AUGGCGGCGCCGGCGGUGGAGCAGCUCGACGGGCCGGUCCAUGGCGGCGCCGGUGGUGGAGCAGCUCGAGGCGUCCGCGGCUCGGCGGUGGUAGGUCGUGGGAAGCCGCGUUGCCCAUGGUGGAGCAACUCAACGGGGCGCCGGCCAUGUCGCGGGCAGCAGAGUUGUCGGCGGUGGAGCAGCUCGACGGGCCGGUCGAUGCCGGCGCCGGCUCGAGAUGGUUGCGGUGUGGCCGGCAUCGGCGGGGAGACGGGGCUCGUCGGGCCUGUGCACCUCCUUCAUGGCGGCGGUGUGGCCGACCUCGGCGCCGGGUCUUGGUGGUGGUCCAUGGCGGCGCCGGCUCGAGGAGGUGGCGCCGGCCUCGACACGGAGGCGGGGCUCCUCCAGAUGGGCGACGGGCUCGGUCCAGGAGGAGCUGCUGCUCCUUGCCGGCCACGCCUGCUGCUCCUCCUUGCCGGCUGGCAGAGAGAUAAGGGAGAGAAGAAGGAGAGGGAGGAGGAAGAGAUAACUGACAUGUGGGCCCCACAUCUCAGUGAACGGUCAAAUGAACGGUCAAACACACGGUUCGUUUAG